rnacentral:rRNA from 1 species
UACGUAGGGGGCAAGCGUUGUCCGGAAUCAUUGGGCGUAAAGAGCGUGUAGGCGGCUUCGUCAGUCCGUUGUGAAAGUCCAGGGCUCAACCCUGGAAUGCCGAUGGAUACUGCGGAGCUAGAGUCCGGAAGAGGCGAGUGGAAUUCCUGGUGUAGCGGUGGAAUGCGCAGAUAUCAGGAAGAACACCGACGGCGAAGGCAGCUCGCUGGGACGGUACUGACGCUGAGGCGCGAAAGCGUGGGGGAGCGAACAGG